rnacentral:rRNA from 1 species
UGAAUACGAGACGCUACGGCGUCGAAGCAGUCUAUGUCAGACUUCCAAGAAAAGCUCGCAAUGUCAUAAACAAAUAAUGCCUGUACCAUAACCGACACAGGUGGGUAGGUAGAGUAUACUAAGGGGCGUGAGAUAACUCUCUCUAAGGAACUCGGCAAAAUGACUCCGUAACUUCGGGAGAAGGAGUGCCUUAUUUAUAAGGUUGCAAUAACAAGAUCCAAGCAACUGUUUAUCAAAAACACAGGUCUCCGCUAAGUCGUAAGACGAUGUAUGGGGGCUGACGCCUGCCCAGUGCCAGAAGGUUAAAGAAGUUGGUUAGCAUUCGCGAAGCUGAUAACUGAAGCCCUGGUGAACGGCGGCCGUAACGAUAACGGUCCUAAGGUAGCGAAAUUCCUUGUCGGGUAAGUUCCGACCCGCACGAAAGGCGUAAUGAUUUGGAUACUGUCUCGGAGAGGGGCUCGGUGAAAUAGACUUGUCUGUGAAGAUGCGGACUACCUGCACCUGGACAGAAAGACCCUAUGAAGCUUUACUGUAACUUGAAAUUGAAAUUGGACUUUAUUUGCGCAGCAUAGGUGGGAGGCGUUGAGAGUAUUCUUGCGGGAAUAUUGGAGCCAUCAGUGAGAUACCACUCUUGUAAUGUUAGAUUUCUAACUUUGUAUCAUUAUCUGGUCAAAGAACAGUUUCAGGCGGGCAGUUUGACUGGGGCGGUCGCCUCCCAAACGGUAACGGAGGCGUACAAAGGUUUCCUCUGAACGGGUAGAAAUCGUAUCUAGAGUGUAAAGGCAUAAGGAAGCUUGACUGUGAGACCUACAAGUCGAGCAGGGACGAAAGUCGGUCUUAGUGAUCUGACGGUGCUGAGUGGAAAGGCCGUCACUCAACGGAUAAAAGUUACUCUAGGAUAACAGGCUGAUCUCCCCCAAGAGUUCACAUCGACGGGGAGGUUUGGCACCUCGAUGUCGGCUCAUCGCAUCCUGGGGCGGUAGUACGUCCCAAGGGUUGGGCUGUUCGCCCAUGAAAGCGGUACGCGAGCUGGGUUCAGAACGUCGUGAGACAGUUCGGUCCAUAUCCGGUGUAGGCGUUAGAAUAUUGAGAGGAGCCUUCUUUAGUACGAGAGGACCGAGAAGGACAUACCUCUGGUGUACCAGUUAUCGUGCCAACGGUAAACGCUGGGUAGCUAUGUAUGGAGAGGAUAACCGCUGAAAGCAUCUAAGUGGGAAGCCCACCUCAAGAUAAGUAUUCUCAUCACGUAAGUGAAUAAGGUCACGGUAAGACUAACCGUUUGAUAGGCAUUAAGUGUAAAUCUAGUAAUAGGUGAGCUGAGAUGUACUAACAGACCGAAGAC